UGGCAGUGUAGUUAGCUGGUUGU
rnacentral:ncRNA from 3 species